GUGGGGAAUAUUGGACAAUGGGGGGAACCCUGAUCCAGCCAUGCCGCGUGUGUGAAGAAGGCCUUUUGGUUGUAAAGCACUUUAAGCGAGGAGGAGGCUACCGAGAUUAAUACUCUUGGAUAGUGGACGUUACUCGCAGAAUAAGCACCGGCUAACUCUGUGCCAGCAGCCGCGGUAAUACAGAGGGUGCAAGCGUUAAUCGGAUUUACUGGGCGUAAAGCGCGCGUAGGUGGCCAAUUAAGUCAAAUGUGAAAUCCCCGAGCUUAACUUGGGAAUUGCAUUCGAUACUGGUUGGCUAGAGUAUGGGAGAGGAUGGUAGAAUUCCAGGUGUAGCGGUGAAAUGCGUAGAGAUCUGGAUGAAUACCGAUGGCGAAGGCAGCCAUCUGGCCUAAUACUGACACUGAGGUGCGAAAGCAUGGGGAGCAAACAGGAUUAGAAACCCUAGUAGUCC
rnacentral:rRNA from 1 species